AGCCAUAUCAUGUUGAAACACCAGUUCUCACAUGAUUUCCGAAGUUAAGCAAUGUUGAGCCUUGUCAGUACCUAGAUGAUUGACAGCUUGAGAAUGCCAGAUGCUGUAA